rnacentral:rRNA from 1 species
CUACGGGCUGCAGCAGUGAGGAAUAUUGCACAAUGGGGGGAACCCUGAUGCAGCAACGCCGCGUGGAGGAUGACGCAUUUCGGUGUGUAAACUCCUUUUAUAUGUCAAGAAAAUGACGGUAGCAUAUGAAUAAGCACCGGCUAACUCCGUGCCAGCAGCCGCGGUAAUACGGAGGGUGCAAGCGUUACUCGGAAUCACUGGGCGUAAAGGGCGCGUAGGCGGGUUGGAAAGUCAGGUGUGAAAUCCUACAGCUUAACUGUAGAACUGCACUUGAAACUUCUAAUCUAGAGUAUGGGAGGGGGAGAUGGAAUUAGUGGUGUAGGGGUAAAAUCCGUAGAUAUCACUAGGAAUACCUAAAGCGAAGGCGAUCUCCUGGAACAUUACUGACGCUAAGGCGUGAAAGCGUGGGGAGCAAACAGGAUUAGAUACCCUCGUAGUC